UACGUAGGGUGCAAGCGUUACUCGGAAUUACUGGGCGUAAAGCGCGCGUAGGUGGUUUGUUAAGUCUGAUGUGAAAGCCCUGGGCUCAACCUGGGAAUUGCAUUGGAUACUGGCAGGCUAGAGUGCGGUAGAGGGUAGUGGAAUUCCCGGUGUAGCAGUGAAAUGCGUAGAGAUCGGGAGGAACACCAGUGGCGAAGGCGACUACCUGGACCAGCACUGACACUGAGGCACGAAAGCGUGGGGAGCAAACAGG
rnacentral:rRNA from 1 species